rnacentral:rRNA from 1 species
GACGAACGCUGGCGGCGUGCUUAACACAUGCAAGUCGAACGGAAAGGCCGGCUUUCGCUUUUGGGUUGCGGUUGCUCACGUGGGGAACGGGUGAGUAACACGUGACUGAGCUGCCCGCAUCUUGGGUAUAAGCGUGGGAAACUAGGUCUAACUCGCGAUAGGGCUGCAGUGAGGUGCCGGUGGUAGUAUCCGACUGUCUCGUGGUCGGGGAUGAGCUCGCUGUCUAUCAGCUUGUUGGUGGGGUAGUGGCCUACCAAGGAGGCGACGGCUAGCCGGCCUGGGAGGGUGGGCCGGCACAUUAGGCCUGAGAUACGGCCCAGAGUCCUACGCAAGGCAGCCGUGGGGAAUAUUGCACAAUGGGCGGAAGCCUGAUGGAGCAACGCCGCGUGGGGGAUGACGGCCUACGGGUUGUAAACUCCUUUCGACCGCGAGGAAGCCACCUGGUUGGAAGGGUAGUGACGGUAGUGGUAGAAGAAGCACCGGCUAACUACGUG